UUACGGUCAUAUCAGGUUGAAUCCCUGUUUCCCGUACGAUCACCAACGUUAAACAACGUCGAACCUGGCCAGUACUUAGAUGGGUGACCGCUUGGGAAUACCAGAGGUUGUAA